GAUGAACGCUGGCGGCGUGCCUAAUACAUGCAAGUCGAGCGAACAGACGAGGAGCUUGCUCCUCUGACGUUAGCGGCGGACGGGUGAGUAACACGUGGAUAACCUACCUAUAAGACUGGGAUAACUUCGGGAAACCGGAGCUAAUACCGGAUAAUAUAUUGAACCGCAUGGUUCAAUAGUGAAAGACGGCUUUGCUGUCACUUAUAGAUGGAUCCGCGCCGCAUUAGCUAGUUGGUAAGGUAACGGCUUACCAAGGCAACGAUGCGUAGCCGAACUGAGAGGGUGAUCGGCCACACUGGAACUGAGACACGGUCCAGACGCCUACGAGAGGCAGCAGUAGGGAAUCUUCCGCAAUGGGCGAAAGCCUGACGGAGCAACGUCACGUGAGUGAUGAAGGUCUUCGGAUCGUAAAACUCUGUUAUUAGGGAAGAACAAAUGUGUAAGUAACUAUGCACGGCUUGACGGUACCUAAUCAGAAAGCCACGGCUAACUACGUG
rnacentral:rRNA from 1 species